rnacentral:lncRNA from 1 species
AGUCCCAAGGCGCAGCGUGCGUCAGCAAGACAGCAGAAGCAGGAGGAGAGCUGGCGGGAAGACAUGCACCCCUUGAAGACCCAGAGAGAGGCCGUCUGUCUACCGCGUAGCAGUUACAUCAGACUGAGACACUUCCUGUUUACAGGAGACUAUAAAAUUCCUGCCCCGUGCUCAUUUGGGGCUGACGCCAUUUUAGGCCUCAGCCCAUCUGCACCCAGGCGCUCACUGAAACAGUGUGUUGCUCCACACCGCCUUGUUUUGCUUGUUGGCGCGCUCUCAGGGUUCCGACCAAUCCAAGAGCCUUGCAGAAAGCAUUAACGUGCUUUUCUCUUUGGCAGAGUUUUUCUUUGCUCUGAUCUUGGAGACAUCCCUCUGCCUAGUGGAAACAUAAGGAAUACAGAAAGAAUGCAAGGAGAUAGACCAACGUGAGAUUCUCCUUCAUGCACUCAAGAGAAAGAUGUUGCAGGAAGAGCUAGUCUUUCAGGCUGGGCUGGUGACCUGAGAAAGAAUGUCCAGCUUUUCUUCUCCACUUGGCAUAUCAAGAGCCAGGCGUGGAAGACUAAAACAGGAAAUGUUUAUAAAAACUGUUCAGCGGUUCGCCAACAAGAAGUGGUAAAGUAGCAAAAAUGGGGAUGGAGAUGCCAGGAGGAAAGAUGCCAGGGGUAAAGUGGGAAAAUGGGAACCUGAAGCCAGGAGGUCAAGCCAAGCCAACAGGUGUUCUGUUUUUCAGGAAACAGAGAGGAAGAAGAAUGAUUUUUCUUUUGAUGACUCUAUAUCCAACUCUGAGGUUUGAUUAAAGAAAUGACCUUGAACCACAGCAAAGAAAAAUAAAAGACAAUUUCCAAGAUUGAAACUCCUGUGGGAGCCGUGCUCCCUUCAAUAGCAUACUGCUCCAGGAUAAUCCACCCUGUGUCGGAGUUGUGAAAACAGAACUCCUCAGGGAUCUGCUAUAUCCAAACUAUUCCAGAGUCCCAAUUGAUGAGCUUUUAUUGCAAAAGCCAUUGAGAAACAGAUUCUUUUCUCAGUGCUCUUCUGAAGGGUGAGCAAAUCAAUCUUACUUCCUAGAUGUGUCAGCUGAGUCAAGUUACCCAGAAAGAAACACAGGAGAAAUGAGUCCCUGACAAGCCUGGGUGGAAGUUCCGUCCACUGCUGUCAAUCCUGCAUAUUUUGUUCCAAUCCACUAUUUCUUUAAAAUUGCUGAGUAAAAUGUUGGAUAUGACUCAGGCAUCCCGAAAAUCUCAAAUCUCUGAAUAUUCAACAUCAAUUUAAAGAAGACACAAGAUACUGGGCUUUUUUUCCCCAUUGUCAAAAUAUGGGGCGUAUGCCGUUGCAAGUUGAGUAUGUAAAAAACCAUGAUGCUAUUUUAUAGUCAUGGAAUCAAUCAUGAGAAUUCACAGUCUUGUGAACAGGGACUUCUCAUAUUUGAUAAAUGACUUGAUUGCUGUGUUUCUGAUUAGCGGCUUUUCAAUUGCAUUACAAAUGUUGGAAACAUCCAUUAGUCAGUAUUUAGCAACAUUUUAGGAACUGAUUAAAGUGAAUCCGUGUUUCAGAAACAUAGAACUACUUGUGCUGUGAACUCAACAGUGAAGAUAUCCAACAGAUCCUUUGGGAAGAGAGAAAUAGACAAGAAUCUUAAGCCACCUUCCUUUUGUUGUUGUUGUUAGAGACAGUCUCACUGUCACCCAGGCUGGACUGCAGUGGUGUGAUCGUAGCUCACUGCAGCCUCAAUCUCCCAAUCUCAAGCAAUCCUCCCACCUCAGCCUCUUAAGUAGCUGGGACUACAGGUGCACACCACCACACCUGGCUCAUUUUUUUUUCGAAUUUUUAGUAGAGACGAGCUCUUGCUAUGUUGCCCAGGCUAGUCUCAAACUCCUAGCCUCAAGCAGUCCUUAAGCCUCAGCCUCCCAAAGUGCUGGGAUUACAGGCAUGAGCCACUGCUCCCAUCCCAGGCCAUCUUCUGCAUGUAAUUUAAUUUCUGCAGGUUUGCCAGUUGGCUUGUCACUUUUACCCAGAAGUAUCUGAGAGAGAAAAAAAAAAAAAUUAAAGCAGGUGUGGGGCAAGAGGGAAGGCAGACACAAACGCAAUCCAAUGUUAUAGUAGAAGAUCACUGCUUAGACUAUCUCCAUAGUUCAUCUUUGCUUUGGU